rnacentral:ribozyme from 1 species
UAGAUUACUAGUUCUGUAAAAGGGUUGGAUCCGACGCCCCUAGAAGGCUACUAUAAGCUCUCCUUCUCAACUCCUACUCAAUACGUCCACGACUUGCACAACGGUAACUUGUCGCCUAGAUAUCCAAGCUUGGGUACACGGGAAACCCACCCCCUUGGGCGGAUGGGCGGCAAGGCUGUAUUGAGAGGG